UGGUUGGGGGUAGUGUAGAAAGUGGAUUCCAACUCCAUCUCAUGUGACUCGAGCUAGAAUUUCUUUAUCAUCCCUACGUGUAUAUAUAAGGACCCCAUGAAAGAAAUAAUUAAUGCAUGGCCAUAUCAAAACCUCCAUAAUUUGUCUCCCUUUCUCUCUCUCAGCUCUCUCUCUUUCUCCUCUUUCGCAUGUAUUAACUGUUGAGGGGAUUGCUGUCUGGUUCGAUGUCAUUCAUGUGAAGCUUUAACAUUAAUGUAGUAUUGAGUGAUUUCGGACCAGGCUUCAUUCCCCCCAACUAUAUUUGUUUAGCAUUCGGAGGGUGUAAUAAGACUUUUGUUGUCGUAUACUUGUGAUUUUGAUCAAUUUGUUUCUCUGGUGAAGAUAACACACCCCAUUGAUACAUAAUUCAGCUAUCAGAGGUCGCAGUACUAAUUAACUGGAACCAGGAGAGCAAGAAAGGAGCCUGUCUUGAGGUUUACAAGGUCUGGCUUUCUGAGCUUUUGUGCCUCUUUUAGUUCGAUAUGAUCUUCAGGGAUAUCACCAUAACUUCUCAUUUGUAGCAGGUGGGUCAGAUAUUAACUCUUGCGGGUCAACUUUAAAUAAAUAAAUAAAACUAGAACUACCAUAACUGGGAUCAGAUUUAUAUUUGUUGCCAUAUAUAUAUAUAUAUAUAUAGAGAGAGAGAGAGAGAGAGAGAGAGAGAGAGAGAGAGAGGAACAGUAGCUCCGUGGCUGCUUUAACUUGAUAUUAGGAGGAUUGUUAGUCAAAAUAAUCAAAUCGUGUAUAAAUUUUAUCAACUAAUUAGCUAAGAUGAACAAGCAGUUGUAAAUUGUAAUUGCACUGUUAAUUAAUUACAUGAUAUUACUACGUACGUUAAUUAAUGAGUUCACUUCAAUUCGUAUCCAUGUUCUCUUCUUCUUAGGGUCUCAUGUUAGAGGCUCUCCUUUAAUUACUAAAAAAAAACAUGAUGUGACGACAAUAUCAACAUUUGUUAGUGUAGAAAUACCACCAUCUUUUGUGGGGAUUCUCAUGUUGAAAGUAAUAAAAAAAAAUUGAAAGAUUCGAAUCGAAGUGCUGCUUGGUGCGAUGUGAAAGGGAUGAAGAUGGAAGAUCAAAGGGGGCGCGGAAAAAAACAAGUUCAAUCGGUUGAUCACCUCUCUAGAGAAUCUGGUCGUGCCCACAUUUUGAUGUAACUACUUUUCCAUGCAUCAAUAUUGAAGGGCUGCUGCUUGCUUAAAAUCUAGGGUUAGGGUUACCAGAGAACUAAAAUUUCUCUCUUUACUAGCUUUUUUUUUUUAUUUUGCCCAUUGUCAAUUUGAAGUCCCUUUUCCAACAACUGUAGUUAUUUAUAUAUAUGCUUUAAUUAAUUCAUUCA